UUAUACCUUUGUUAUAAGGUUUCUAACCGCGGUAUCCUGUUAAAUAAUGGAUGGGCGGUAUUACAGGCGUCUGAAAUAAUACUUAAAUUGUACCUGAAGCUUUAGCAACGCACCUUCAUUAAGACAAGAACGUGACCAAGACCUGGAAGAUCUGUAAAUCUGCGGCAAACAAAGAUGAAUAAACUAUUGCUGCUGUGUAUCCUGGCCUGCCUUGUGCUCCUGGCCUCCUCCAAACCCCUCUUUGAUGAACCAAUCUCGAGUAGUGAGCGGCGUUCUGCGUGCGGUCCAGGCUGUCAAAUCCUUACAGGCGUCAAGUUUGGUAACAGAAAGUUCGGCGGUCGGAGAAAGACUGGAAAAUACUAUUACAACCGCUUCAGGAAUUCCCACAGAGAGUUCGAUUUUCCAGACGACGACGUCUAUGAUGACACUGAGUGAGAGACCACAACUCCAUAUUCCCUGCACGGGCUUCACUAUCACGUAUUUAACUCUGUAGAGUAGAUCACUGCCACCUAGUGGGAAUAAGUGUAUAUUGAAAAUACUAACUGUUCACUAUGCUACUAAAUUUUAUUUCAAGGAGGGAGAUGCUUGUUGUAAUAAAGGUCAAUAAACGUUGUCUUUAAUCGAGAA